GGUGGUAUGGCGGAAUUGGUAGACGCUAAUUGAGUGUGGUUAAUCGUAGAGUGAAAUUCUCUGCUAAGUGUUAGAUAGGUUGAAAAUAAAACCUGACAAUCCACAUCAAUCCUAUCGUGCAGGUUCAAAUCCCGCUGCCACCA
rnacentral:tRNA from 1 species